UUGUUAGGUGACUGCGUACCUUUUGUAUAAUGGGUCAGCGACUUAUAUUCAGUGGCGAGCUUAACCGAAUAGGGGAGGCGUAGCGAAAGCGAGUCUUAAUAGGGCGUUUAGUCGCUGGGUAUAGACCCGAAACCGGGCGAUCUAUCCAUGGGCAGGUUGAAGGUUAGGUAACACUGACUGGAGGACCGAACCGACUACCGUUGAAAAGUUAGCGGAUGACCUGUGGAUCGGAGUGAAAGGCUAAUCAAGCUCGGAGAUAGCUGGUUCUCCUCGAAAGCUAUUUAGGUAGCGCCUCAUGUAUCACUGUAGGGGGUAGAGCACUGUUUCGGCUAGGGGGUCAUCCCGACUUACCAAACCGAUGCAAACUCCGAAUACCUACAAGUGCCGAGCAUGGGAGACACACGGCGGGUGCUAACGUCCGUCGUGAAAAGGGAAACAACCCAGACCGUCAGCUAAGGUCCCAAAGUCAUGGUUAAGUGGGAAACGAUGUGGGAAGGCUUAGACAGCUAGGAGGUUGGCUUAGAAGCAGCCACCCUUUAAAGAAAGCGUAAUAGCUCACUAGUCGAGUCGGCCUGCGCGGAAGAUGUAACGGGGCUCAAACCAUGCACCGAAGCUACGGGUAUCA
rnacentral:rRNA from 1 species